GUUGACCUCACGUGACGGUUGGAGCUGUUUGUGUGCAACCAGGGUGCAUACAUCCAGGGCUGCACAUCAAACACGGCAUUCAGAGACGUCUCACCUGCACAGUCGUUGCUUGGGUGACUAAUGGGGCGCGCAAACAAGUUCCUGUCAAAGUAUAGUUACCCUUCCAAGCAUCCGAUCGUUGGUAGGAUUCAAAGAAAGUUAAAUGUUCUUCGUUGUUAUAUAUCUGAAGGCAUCAUAAAACAAAGGUCCACCGGCCAACAGCUGCAAUAAUAUCUUGUUUUCGAAACAACAACUUCGACUCUCCGGUUACAGUGCAGUGGCCUUGUCUACUGAUUGUGUGAUUCUACAUUUUAACACCCUUAAUAAACAAGGCAUUUAAAACAGCUGUGUGGGGAAUACAACAAGUAAUAAAAAGGGGAGAAAGGCUAAUCUCACUUUAUUUCAAGGUAUCAUCGGUUGAUUAUCUAGAAUAUUCUGUAUGGAACCUGGCGAUUCAUCUGAGAGCAAUAAAAACAUGGAUCUGUUGUCAAAACCUCAAGACAUUCCGGUAAACCCGGACUCAAGGGACAGCGAAGGCUUCACAUUGCUGAUGAGAGCUUCACAACACCCGCCAACAGAAUGUGAAUGUGUGGACUCUAACAACAGCACUCUAAGAGUUAUUAAACACUUACUGGACAGUGGGGUCGACCCUGAAGCCCGUUCUCCCGAUGGGAGGACCGCCUUUGAAAUGGCUGUCCAGUGUAACAACUGGCCUGCAAUACUAGCGCUUCUUCCUCGAUGUGAGGUGAAGAUCGGUGAUAAUGUUUCAUUGACGGGGACACAUUAUUUUCAUGAGCUGGCUAAACAAAAAGACAUUUGUGAUGAAAAGCUAAGAUCGUUCACGAAAACUUUACUUGCACAUGGCUUAAACAUCAACGAGCUUGACAGACAUGGUCAUUCACCUUUGACCCUUGCAGCAAAACAUGAAAACUGGAAUUAUAUUAUUGCACUGUUAGAGUAUGGCGCAGGCGCAAGUGUACACAUAUAUUUCUCUCUUUUUGAUUUUGUUAUUUUUCACCAUAGCAACAUUCCUCACUCAAUAUUGACGGCUUUGUUGGAUGCAAUUCAGGCUCAGGGAGUUGACUUCAACAGUCAGAAUAGGAAAGGAAGAACAAUCUUGUUUGAACACAAGGUAUAUUCUUCUAUCUAUUUUGGAAAUGGUUGUCAUCGUGAAUUGUUUAGUUUACUUGUCGACAGAGGAGUCAAUCCGUUGCUGCCUGAUCGUCAUGGACACUCACUGCUCCGAUUCUCCUUAGAUGUCUAUAGAGAUUUUGAAUUAAGGUUUCUAAAAUUUCUCGUAAAAAUUGGAGUAACUACCCAUCAGCCAGCCGUUGACAGAAGCUGCCAGAACCAGAACUGCUUCAGCCUCCUCAAUGCCAUCUCCAACUCAAGCCGCCUUUGAAGUGGAAGACGUCCAGGCCUUGAAGAUUCUGAUAGAAUCAGGUGCCAGUAACAACAGGGAAUUGUUUGAGCUCAGUGCGCACCUUGAGGAAAAAUUCGUAAACAACAAGACAAGAGCAAAGACAGAAAUGCUGGACAUUUUGAAGCAGGCUGCCUCUCAGCCUCGGUCUCUCGAGUCUCUGUGUCGCCUGACUGUCUCUCACGCUCUUGGCUGUGGCACCAGGAGGGAAGAGAAGGUCACGUGUCUUUCUGUCCCUCAACGACUUCAGCAGUACAUCCUGUUUCAUGACAUACUGUCAGAAGAGCUUCAGACUCCAGAAGAAAUAUCUCAUCAUAAUCUAUGUAGGAGAGAGAGAAAAAUGUUUGGCCAACGUUCCCGAGAACAUAUAUGUCGUCACGGUCGAAUGUCACGGUUUGAACAAAACGAGAUGUGGCUUUUAUACACUGAAGAGUAGCAGCUGGAGAGAAUUUCAGUGAUUAUUUGACUUCGGAGUUUUUCUAUUUUCAAAUUAAAAACUUGUUCCCUGCCCAAUUUCUUUGAACAACCAAUCCUUCAGCUGCCUUUAAAAGUUUUUGAAAAAGCUGGGAAACUUGUCUUCUCGAGUGGGCUUGAAUUUCAAGAUUUCAGAUUUCUGGCGUGCAGUCAACUUUGCUCUUUGUAAUUACUAAUAAUCAGACUGCAAUGAUCCUUUUGUAAAAAAAAUUUAAAAGGCAAUCGUACGAAGGAGAAAGUAUUUAGGAUUAAGUGGUAUUACCCAGCAUGCAAAGCUUGCAGGCCAGCUUCACAGGCCGUGGGGUUUUCCCUCACGAUCUUGUCUCCUCACCUGGUAUUUCCACCUGUGUGACUAACAGCGCGCGUGACUGUGUCAACUGCUUCACUGUGCGCGUGUCACAUGUCAUCACUGUCCUGUAUCUUCGUACCAAGCUUAAGUGUAUUGAAUGCCCAUCAAGUAGUAUUACUCACUCUCUGUCACUCCCACACACACACACACACAAAGGAAAAGGAGGUAAUGAAAGAAAAAUGCUAGAAAGGAAAGAAAGAAGACAAGAAGAAAGAAAAGCAGGAGGCGAGAGAUGACUAUCCAGAAAAUAGUUUUUUUCAUUUUGCUUUUAAGCACAAGCUUCAAAUUUCCAUGUUGAUUUCUCAUCAAAAGAAGAUGCACAAAACGAAAGAUCAAAUACAAGAAAGUGACAAAUAUUGACUGAAAAUACAAAAUACACCGGACAUUAUAUUAUUUGUUGUUGAUCCUAUUGAGUCGCGUUUUGCCAGUUGUUUACUGUGGAAGAAAGACAAAGAGAGAGAAACUAUGACCACAUACUUGAAUGCUUUCUUGAGUGCUUGUUAAACUGAACUGUAUAGCAGCCAUGUGUAAUUAUCACCACUUGUAAUUGAUUGUAAAGAAGUUUAUAAUGUUUAAAACAUGUUCUUUAAUGUCGAUCAUCUUCUGAAGUGUCGACAUCUGUCAAUUUUAGAGUUCACGCAUACGUGGGUACAAAUAUUUACAGUUUAUAGUUGGAGAAUGAACAGUCAGCACUAGCAAGGGGCGACAUGGACUGGCAAGUCGACACACGCCGUGACACAGAGACUAGCAGCGACACUCACUUGGACAUCUGUGGGCACUCUCUCAGGGUUAUGUAUCCAUAUCCACACUCUACCAGUUCUUAUUUACUGUUUUCUAAAGAAAAAUACAUGAGCAUCCACCAACUACCACUAAAGCAUGUGCUCUCUCGGACCAAACAUUCUAGUCAGUGAUACUUUGGAAACCUCGAGCAGUUGAAUCCAGCGGACCAGGUAAAGCCAGCAUCAAUGAGGUCAAGUUUGGGGUCAAGUACCCAGUAGGGCACCGACAGCCACUGACACACCACCCUGGUUACAAAAUGUAAUUACUAUCAUUUAUCUUUAUCUUUUGAAAAUCGUCCCUCGUCUUGCAAUUCCUGUAACUCCACCAACGCAGCAAGUUGUGUUGUUUCCGUUUCAAUGUAUCAAACAAAAGUUUGUCCACACCCUCGGACUCAUUGCGACACCACCUCCCUCCCUGAGAACAGUAUCAUGCAAACAGAUCGUUAGAACCUUGUCGUCACACGCCUGGAUUGUUAUCACAACCACCGCACGUUGAUUGGUCUCGCGCGUGACGUCCUCUCGUGGCCACGUGACCUCUUCAGCAACAUCCAGGACAGCGCCAGGUCCUGCCAGCAGCCACAACAUGGCGAGCAGAAGAUGGAGAGGUGCUCAUUGGUGCUGGCUUCUGAUGAUGAUGCUUCAGAUCCCGUGUAUGAUCUGCUACGAAGGAACUACAGCAGCCCGAUGGACACUCUACCAAGGUCUUAGUCUCUCUUGGAACGAGGCUUCUAUGUUCUGCAAGUCUUUGGGAGGACAUCUGCCGGUCUUCAACACCAAGCUACGGAGUAACGGCUUUAACUCAACGGUGUUAAAAUGGGAUAAAAAUAAUUUGGUGUCCCAGGACAUUUGGACUGGUCUAUUUUCCAAUAAUUCCGGAAAGGCCCCCAUCACCUGGGAGGAAAACUGUUCUCAACAGCCGGGCAGUCUAACCGUGUGGGGACCCCAAGAGCCUGACGCAUUAGGGACAGACUUUUGUGUCCGGUACAAGUUGCAUCCCUCAGAUUUCACACCAGGCAAUGCAAUAGUUCGGAAAAUGUCGUUUGCGAGUUUGAUGCAGGGAGCUGUAGUUAUAGCACACAGCCCGGCUCACUGCUCACAUCGCUUGUAAAAGUCAUAAACGUAAACCUGGGUCAGUCUUCCAAAGACAGCUGUUGGCAGGCGUGCAUGAACUACUCUUCGACUGUCAGCGGGGAAGAGUGCAUAGCUGCAGUCUUUGACUCUGUCUUGACAAAGUGCACGGGAUACGUGGGUGACACGUUGAUGUCCACUCAGACAGCAUUGCUGAACGUAUCAGUCGUGCAAACAGCAACAACGAUGUUAAAAGAAUGCUUUCAAGAUGAAAUUAGUGAAUGCUACAGUGGAUAUACUUUUUUCAAUAAAAAUGACAAACCAGUCCAGCAGGAAAUCCCUGCAGCUCUGUUAAAACUCCCUUCGUCCCAGUCGUCCCCAAUUCCAGUUGUGUCCAGACGUCUACAGCCACCUCAACACGAACAAGAUCAGAUGAG